GUGGACCGCAAUGUCAAAAUUGCUGUUCGGCCAUUGCUCGUGAAAAAACAAAUUUGUUUACAAAACAUAUCAUAUCUUUUGGUGACAAAUGCAUUCGUCGGCAAAAUAGCUGCUCGCGCUUUACUGUAGAUAUCUACAAUCAGCGGUCGAAUUAAAAACAGUGCAGAAGGAUGUUUUGAGGCAAAAGCAUGAAAUAGAAUCGUACGUAGUACAAAUUUAUCGGCACAAUCUGAUCAAGGACGGAGGCAUCAUCAAACGGAAACUACGCGAGAAACUUUUCGAAGAGAUAAAACUGCGCCGCAACACUCGUGUCAAA